rnacentral:lncRNA from 1 species
GCUAAAGUCCAAGCCUAAAAAAACAAGAGCAUAUCAAGCUGAAGAAGAAUCAGAAGGUUCUGAUGAAGACUCAUAUGAUGAUGAUGAUUUAUCUUUGAUUUCUAAGAUGGUCAACAGACUCUAUAAACCUAAUAAUGUAUCCUUACCUUUUAGGUUUUAUCAUUAUUUCUCUGUUCCUUGGGAACAAAUAAAAGAUGGUGACGACUCUAUAUUUUUCCAACCGCGACAGAAACAUGAUUGCCAAAUCCAAAACUAAAGACAAACAUCUUGACCAC